AGUGAACGCUGGCGGCAGGCCUAACACAUGCAAGUCGAGCGGCAGCGCGGGGGCAACCCUGGCGGCGAGCGGCGGACGGGUGAGGAAUUCGUCGGAAUCUGCCUUUUUGUGGGGGAUAACGUAGGGAAACUUACGCUAAUACCGCAUACGUCCUACGGGAGAAAGUGGGGGACCGCAAGGCCUCACGCAGAAAGAUGAGCCGACGACCGAUUAGCUAGUUGGUGGGGUAAAGGCCCACCAAGGCGACGAUCGGUAGCUGGUCUGAGAGGAUGAUCAGCCACACUGGGACUGAGAUACGGCCCAGACUCCUACGGGAGGCAGCAGUGGGGAAUAUUGGACAAUGGGCGCAAGCCUGACCCAGCCAUGCCGCGUGUGUGAAGAAGGCCUUCGGGUUGUAAAGCACUUUUGUCCGGAAAGAAAUCCCUGGAGCUAAUACCUUCGGGGGAUGACGGUACCGGAAGAAUAAGCACCGGCUAACUUCGUG
rnacentral:rRNA from 1 species